CCUUCACAAUGGCUGUGCCCAUCAGUUGCCAGGUGUUUGAUUCAAGGAUUUUCUGAGCCUGAUGCAUUUACAGUGCUAUUUGGUGGCCUGGGGAA
ensembl:misc_RNA